UAUAAACAGUGUUACAUUAUUCCUCCACGUGAAUUCUUCUCCUCGUGUCUCUCGGUCAUCCUGGAUCUCUCCACCUUAUAAAUAAGAUUAUGUCUCUCCCUCGUCAAGACACAACAAGUAAGUAGCUUUUUCUCCGAGUUUGGCUCUUCGAUUCUGCUAUGAACCCUGUUUCUCAUAACUUUGCACAGAAGCAACGCUUAUUUAUUAGGCUAAUGUAUGUUUAGGGAUCCAUUUUAGCAUCGGAACCCCGGAGUUUAUCUGUUAUAUAAUUUUGUCUACUGGGGUCCGUGGCGGGCUCUGUAAUCCAAGCUACUGGGAGGCUAGAAUUUGUGGAUGGUUUGAGGUUGGGAGUCCUGCUGUGCAAUGCUACACGUUGAACCGGCGUCCGCACUAAGCUUGGCGUCAACAUGGGUAUCUUGGAGGAGUCCGAGGCAUCCAGGUUGUCUAACGAGAUAUGCAAUAGAUCUAGGGGAGAAAUCCAGCAGUCUAAAGUAUCCGCGGCAAGCAGUAGUGGGAUCUCGCUGGCGAGUGGGUGCUGUACAGUAGCCCAGUUAAUACAAGCAGACCAGGUUCCUUUU
rnacentral:lncRNA from 1 species